ACAACAUCCACCGUAUAUCACAUUAGGGUGAAGAACACGAUGCCUUGCCCACUUAAAAAAUUCACCAUUGCAUUUUUGGGUAUGUUGGAGUUACACAACGAAAUGCAACUGAAAAGAAGUACUGGGCAGAGCCCAAGACGGCACAUCGAGCCAUGAACAAAUUGGUGUUCUCUCUUCUUUGCUGGUACGUAGCAUGAGCCAGGCUGCUGUGCUUGGAUGGAAGCAGCACUCAUCUCAUCUGUUACAUUGCACUAAAGGACAAGCAAAAAACCGAAGGAGAGGGAGGUUACUGGAAGUGUGGGACACAGAAUUACGGAACCUCAGGUGUUGGAAAGGACCUCUGGAGAUCAUCCAGUCUAACCCCCUGCUUCAGCAGGUUCCCUACAGCAGAUCACACAGCUAGGCAUCCAGGUAGUGAAUCAACAACCUUUCUCAAAGAGGAAAAAAGAAAACUAGCAUGUAUGGCUAGAAAGUGGCUAGAUGGUGUCACAGAACUCAAGAAUGAGAAAGACAUUUAAAGAGUUGUGAAAAGUGUGAAAACACACCAGAAAAUCAGAACCAAGAUCUCCGUACACCCUCCCAUUCUGAGGCUGGUGAGAGCAAACAAAUCUGAUGUAGGAUCCUAAGGCUUCAAUGAGCUGUUUAUCCUAAAACAUUUUGGAGCAGUUGAUAUUCCUGUGUGCAAACUAC
rnacentral:lncRNA from 1 species